rnacentral:rRNA from 1 species
UUGAACUGAAGAGUUUGAUCCUGGCUCAGAUUGAACGCUGGCGGCAUGCCUUACACAUGCAAGUCGAACGGCAGCACGGGUGCUUGCACCUGGUGGCGAGUGGCGAACGGGUGAGUAAUACAUCGGAACAUGUCCUGUAGUGGGGGAUAGCCCGGCGAAAGCCGGAUUAAUACCGCAUACGAUCCACGGAUGAAAGCGGGGGACCUUCGGGCCUCGCGCUAUAGGGUUGGCCGAUGGCUGAUUAGCUAGUUGGUGGGGUAAAGGCCUACCAAGGCGACGAUCAGUAGCUGGUCUGAGAGGACGACCAG